rnacentral:rRNA from 1 species
AGAGUUUGAUCAUGGCUCAGGAUGAACGCUAGCUACAGGCUUAACACAUGCAAGUCGAGGGGAAACGACAUCGAAAGCUUGCUUUUGAUGGGCGUCGACCGGCGCACGGGUGAGUAACGCGUAUCCAACCUGCCCAUCACUUGGGGAUAAUCUUGCGAAAGUAAGACUAAUACCCAAUGAUAUCUCUAGAAGACAUCUGAAAGAGAUUAAAGAUUUAUCGGUGAUGGAUGGGGAUGCGUCUGAUUAGCUUGUUGGCGGGGUAACGGCCACCAAGGGCUACGAUCAGUAGGGGUUCUGAGAGGAAGGUCCCCCANAUUGGAACUGAGACACGGUCCCAAAUCCCGUACGGGAGGCA